CGUCUCGUGAGCUACAGUGAGCUACAAAUGGCGCCAGGUUCUUCAGCUUUGAAUGCCUUCCUACAAAUGAUAACUGGAUAAAAGCAUGGGAGACUUGAUUGAAUUCUUGAAACAAAGAGAAGUCUCUGAGGAAAUUAUACAGACCUUGGAGAAUGAGAAGAUUGAUGCCAGUGUCAUAAGUCUAAUGACAGAUGAGGAGCUGAAGACUUAUUUGCCAUCAUAUGGUGAUCGUCUAGCAGUAUUUGGAUUUUGCAGACGGAGGGGCAGCAGCCGCAAGUCAGCGCUUUUUGAACGGCUGAAAUCCAAACUGUCCAAAAGAAAAUUAUCUGAAGAGGAUGGCAGUAGUACACGGCAAGAAGAACAUUCCCAAACAACCCAUAAAAGAAAUGCUCUGAAGAGAAAUAGAAAAAUAGAAAUAGGAUGGAUGCAUUAUGAUGAAGACACUGAGGUUUUCAAGCAGGUUAGAGCUAGACGAGGAGGAGGAACAAGAAAAAUAGACAUUUGCAAGGAUGCCAAGAAAAGGGACAUAUUACAGGUUGCAACAGGCUUGUUCU